UACGUAGGGCGCAAGCGUUAUCCGGAAUUAUUGGGCGUAAAGAGCUCGUAGGCGGUUUGUCGCGUCUGCUGUGAAAACCCGAGGCUCAACCUCGGGCCUGCAGCCGAUACGGGCAGACUAGAGUUCGGCAGGGGAGACUGGAAUUCCUGGUGUAGCGGUGGAAUGCGCAGAUAUCAGGAGGAACACCGGUGGCGAAGGCGGAUCUCUGGGCCAUAAACUGACGCUG
rnacentral:rRNA from 1 species